AGAAUCAGCGCUGGCGGCGUGCCUAACACAUGCAAGUCGCACGAGAAAGGGGAGCAAUCCCUGAGUAAAGUGGCGCACGGGUGAGUAACACGUGAAUAAUCUACCUCCGAGUGGGGAAUAACUGAGAGAAAUCUUAGCUAAUACCGCAUAACACUUACGAGUCAAAGCAGCAAUGCGCUUGGAGAGGAGUUCGCGGCCGAUUAGUUAGUUGGCGGGGUAAUGGCCCACCAAGACGAUGAUCGGUA
rnacentral:rRNA from 1 species